CUCACUGAUUUCUACAUCAUAACUAUCCACCAAAGGGUACCACUGUAACUGAACUGUACAGAAGAAACCAGAUUGCGUUUUCUCUUUCGAUUUCUCUGUCUCAACUCUUCUCUAUUCGUCUGGAACACCUCCACCAUGAAACUUAACAAAGGAUACGGAAAUCUGAUGCUUAAUAUAAGAUUUCAAUCCUGCAACCAUUGUAAUUGUCGUCCAUUUCUUAUGUUGCGGAACAUGUGAUACCUUGGCAUCACAUUCAAACCCAGGUCUAGAAACCGAACGGCACUCGCAACAGGCUGUCUCUUGGAGUUGCUAUACUUGGACAAUUUUAAUAAUGUGACGCAGAAGUUUUCUUUUGUGAUUUUUCAUUGAUUGAGGCUGUGCCUCUUUGUAGCAGUGGUAGGCAAUAAAGUCAUAGCCCCAGAAUCACAGAGCAAGCUUGAGUACGAGGGUUGACAGAAACAUCAAGGGAGCAUAAUAGAGUACCAUAACUCCGUAAAUGUUCUAGAAUGCAGAAGCAAGCUCGAAUUCGGGAUAAUCUUGAUAUGAAAAAAUGUAAGGGAAGGAUAAUGUCACCAUGAAUUGGAACCACAUCAAAAGCUGAUCAGCUACAACAGUGGCAAAAUUUUGGGAGAACCAAAUAAAGCUGGAUGAAGAAGUUUACCUGUCUUAGAAAAAUACAAUAUAUCAUAAUACGUUUUUAUCAUGUAAAAAAAUGCAUACGAAUAAUUUUUUGGUGUAAAUGGAUAUUUUUAAUAGAAGAAUAUAAAGUUUGAUUUUA